GUGCUUGCUUUAGCAGCACAUAUACUAAAACUGGAACAGAGAAGAUUAGCAUGGCUGCACAAGAAUGACACACAAAUUCAUGAAGCAUUCCAUAUUUAA
rnacentral:snRNA from 1 species